UGCUUUGGAGGCUACCGGCGUUGAUAAUUGCAGUAUGCAAAUUGAAACCUCUGAUACUCACGAUUCAUCAGUUGAGGUUCCUAUUCUGGAUGGAUCAGCAAGAGAAUGGGUGGACGCAAUUGAAGAAGCUGGGCUGAAGGCAGCAUUAGAUCGUAGCGGUAAUAGCUGUGAGAAAUUAGCUCCUGUUCUUAGAGAACCUGUUACUGUAUGGAAAAAUGAUUCUUUUAUAGCUGCAUUCCCUUAUUCAGAGGUCAAGAUUACCUAUGGCAUCGACUUUCCACGGGCACCCGAAA
rnacentral:misc_RNA from 1 species